GACGAACGCUGGCGGCGUGCUUAACACAUGCAAGUCGAACGGAAAGGCCCUGCUUUUGUGGGGUGCUCGAGUGGCGAACGGGUGAGUAACACGUGAGUAACCUGCCCUUGACUUUGGGAUAACUUCAGGAAACUGGGGCUAAUACCGGAUAGGAGCUCCUGCUGCAUGGUGGGGGUUGGAAAGUUUCGGCGGUUGGGGAUGGACUCGCGGCUUAUCAGCUUGUUGGUGGGGUAGUGGCUUACCAAGGCUUUGACGGGUAGCCGGCCUGAGAGGGUGACCGGCCACAUUGGGACUGAGAUACGGCCCAGACUCCUACGGGAAGCAGCAGUGGGGAAUAUUGCACAAUGGGCGGAAGCCUGAUGCAGCAACGCCGCGUGCGGGAUGAUGGCCUUCGGGUUGUAAACCGCUUUCGCCUGUGACGAAGCGUGAGUGACGGUAAUGGGUAAAGAAGCACCGGCUAACUACGUG
rnacentral:rRNA from 1 species